rnacentral:rRNA from 1 species
CCUACGGGAGGCAGCAGUGGGGAAUUUUGGACAAUGGACGCAAGUCUGAUCCAGCCAUUCCGCGUGCAGGACGAAGGCCUUCGGGUUGUAAACUGCUUUUGUACGGAACGAAAAGGUCUCUAUUAAUACUAGGGGCUCAUGACGGUACCGUAAGAAUAAGCACCGGCUAACUACGUGCCAGCAGCCGCGGUAAUACGUAGGGUGCAAGCGUUAAUCGGAAUUACUGGGCGUAAAGCGUGCGCAGGCGGUUAUAUAAGACAGAUGUGAAAUCCCCGGGCUCAACCUGGGAACUGCAUUUGUGACUGUAUAGCUGGAGUGCGGCAGAGGGGGAUGGAAUUCCGCGUGUAGCAGUGAAAUGCGUAGAUAUGCGGAGGAACACCGAUGGCGAAGGCAAUCCCCUGGGCCUGCACUGACGCUCAUGCACGAAGGCGUGGGGAGCAAACAGGAUUAGAUACCCUGGUAGUCCACGCCCUAAACGAUGUCAACUGGUUGUUGGGUCUUCACUGACUCAGUAACGAAGCUAAACGCGUGAAGUUGACCGCCGUGGGGAGUACGGCCGCGAAGGUUGAAACGUUAAAUUGAAUUGACCGGG